rnacentral:rRNA from 1 species
GACAGAGGUCUCAAGCGUUAGGCGGAAUCACUGGGCUUAAAGCGUGUGUAGGCGGAUGCCUAAGUACCUUGUGAAAUCCCCACGGCUUAACCGUGGAACUGCUUGGUAUACGUGGGUGUCUUGAGCCAGCUAGGGGCGACCGGAACAAACGGUGGAGCGGUGAAAUGCGUAGAUAUCGUUUGGAACGGCCAAUGGUGGAAACAGGUCGCUGGGGCUGUGGCUGACGCUGAGACACGAAAGCCAGGGGAGCAAACGGG